rnacentral:tRNA from 1 species
CUCAUAAGAAGACUGAAGCCAGGACU